rnacentral:rRNA from 1 species
ACACUGUUCAUGGGUUACCGCGGCUGCUGGCACGGAGUUAGCCGGUGCUUCUUCUGUGAGUGAUGUCCUUCCUGCCGGCUAUUAACCCGCAGGCCUUCUUCCUCACUGAAAGUGCUUUACAACCCGAAGGCCUUCUUCACACACGCGGCAUGGCUGGAUCAGGGUUGCCCCCAUUGUCCAAUAUUCCCCACUGCUGCCUCCCGUAGGAGUCUGGGCCGUGUCUCAGUCCCAGUGUGGCUGAUCAUCCUCUCAGACCAGCUACGGAUCGUCGCCUUGGUGAGCCGUUACCUCACCAACCAGCUAAUCCGACAUAGGCUCAUCCGAUAGCGCGAGGCCCGAAGGUCCCCCGCUUUCCCCCGUAGGGCGUAUGCGGUAUUAGCCUGGGUUUCCCCAGGUUAUCCCCCACUACCGGGCAGAUUCCUAUGCAUUACUCACCCGUCCGCCGCUCGCCACCAGGGAGCAAGCUCCCCGUGCUGCCGCUCGACUUGCAUGUGUUAGGCCUCGCCGCCAGCGUUC